rnacentral:lncRNA from 7 species
CACGGUUACAAUCAAACCAAAUAGAUCCAUUGUCAAAACAUAAAUUUGAAAUAUGCAUGUACUAAAUUUGAAAUAUGCAUGUACUAAAUUAACUAAAUGUCUGGCCCACCUCGGGGCACGCGCGGGUUGGUUAAAUUAAAUAUACUAGCCAUGAACGUAAACAUAUCAUAUGGGACGACCGACAAUCUAAUGCUCGUACAGAAGAAAG